rnacentral:rRNA from 1 species
CACCGCGGUUAUACGAGAGGCCCAAGUUGACAGACCACCGGCGUAAAGCGUGGUUACUAUAAUCAUAAACUAAAGUUGAAUGCUCUCAAAGCUGUUAUACGCUCUUGACAGCAAGAACCCCCCCAACGAAAGUGACUUUACCCUAUUGAACCCACGAAAGUUAGGAUA